UCCACUACUCAAUAUCCUCUCCGGCCGUGUUCUCAGCUCCAUGGUGAUAAGAAAUGCCAGAAACAAAUAUGGAUCUAAACAAAAGAUAGACACAAAAAGCUGGAGUAACUCAGCGGGACAGGCAGCAUCUAUGGAGAGAAGGAAUGGGUGAUGUUUCGGGUCGAGACCCUUCUUCAGACUGACUGAAGCUUAUUGUUACUCCAGCUUUUUGUGUCUAUCUUCGGUUUAAACCAGCAUCUGCAGCUCCGUCCUGCACAUGGAUCUAAACAAACUUCCCUCCUCCAGCAGAAAGCGACGGCACCCGCUGUGUAUGAAGCAGUGGGCUCCAAAAAGGACCGAGACUCGGUGGUGAAGUCUUUCUCAGAUGAUGUUGCCUAUGUGGUUUACCGGUUAAAAAAUGCAAAGAAGAAAAUGUUCAAGAAACCAAAGUUCCUGGUAGCCAUUUGAUGCUUGCAGGAAACAAGCCCAGUACUGUGAGCUACGGAGGCCACAGCAUUUCAACAAAACCAACCCACCCCUUCUGAUGGAUCCACCGGUGGCACCGAACUCCAGCUGCAUCUGAUCCCAAAAUACCCAGCAUUCUUGUAAUUGUACGCCAGUGACUAACGGGCUGAAACAUCAUCCAUAAAACCAAAACAAAGUUCCCAGUUUCUCCUCGUCUCCCACUUGCUGGAAUCUGCAGGUAGAUGAAUGCCAACUGUUCUUCAAUGUCCAUCUGAGUGAUGCCGGGAGGUCAGGCCAAGCUGGGCGGCAGCCGGUGACCCGGCCUCAAUGGUCAUCUCUGGACUUGAUGAUGUUGCAUAACUGAAUCUGUUCUGCUGGGGUAUUAAAUGGCCAAUGGGGAUGAGUGUAGAUGGGCCGGGUGGGGCUUGUUUCCAUGCUGUUCAACUCUGCCACUCCUUGAGGUCAGUCUGGCUGUUGAUGUGUAUGUUGAUGCUUCAUGAGGUCAUAACUGAGAGGAGCAGAAUUAGGCCAUUCGGCCCAUCAAGCUGAUCUAUUCCUUCCUCCUAUCCCCAUUCUCCUGCCAUCUCCCCAUAACUCCUGACACCCGUACUAAUCAAUAGACAAUAGGUGCAGGAGUAGGCCAUUCGGCCCCUCGAGCCAGCACCGCCAUUCAUUGUGAUCAUGGCUGAUCAUCCACAAUCAGUACCCCGCUCCUGUCUUCUCCCCAUAUCCCUUGAUUCCGCUAUACGAGCUUUAAAUAACUCUCUUGAAAACAUCUAGAGAAUUGGCCUCUACUGCCUUCUGAGGCAGAGAAUUCUGUGAAAAAGUUUUUCCUCAUCUCUGUUCUAAAUAGCCUACCCCUUAUUCUCAAACUGUGGCUCCUGGUUCUGGACUCCCCCAACAUCGGGAACAUGAUUCCUGCCUCUAGUGUGUCCAAUCACUUAAUAAUCUUAUGUGUUUCAAUAAGAAACCCUCUCAUCCUUCUAAAUUCCUGUGUAUACAAGCCCAGUCGCUCCAUUCUUUCAACAUAGGGAAUUAACCUUGUGAAUCAAGAAUCUAUCAAUCUCUGCCUUAAAAAUAUCCACUGACUUGGCCUCCACAGCUUUCUGUGGCAAUGUAUCCCACAGAUUCACCACCCUCUGACUCAGGAAAUUCCUCCUCAUCUCCUUCUUAGAGGAACGUCUUUUAAUACUGAGGCUAUGACCUCUGGUCCUAGACUCUCCCACUAGUGGAAACAUCCUCUCCACAUCCACUAUCCAAGCCUUUCAUUGUUCGGUAAGUUUCAAUGAGGUACCCCUUCAUCCUUGCAAACUCCAGUGAGUACAGGCCCAGCGCUGUCAAACUCUCAUCAUAUGUUAUGAUCCAACACUCGACGUAUCAUAAUUCCUGGUAUAAUUCUCGUUCCUCGCGGUUCCUUGGCAAUAUCCUCCUGGAUCAAGAUUUUCCUUGAUCUCCAGCACCUGAAACAGAUUAUUCAUUCACAUUCCUGUUUGAGACCUUGGGAAUACAUGUUUUCAACAAAUAGUCCCCGUACUAAAGUAAUUAAUUGUCCCGUAAUGGAAGAUGGAUGCUAUUUAACUGUAAAUCAGUCGUGCGCACAGUUCAGAAUUAAUGUGCAGCAAUAAAAUGAUGCCCCCGGAGCGAGGAUACACAGCAGCAUUUCACAAUAACAGCAGCAAAUGUCAGACGUUCAGAUGUCGGUGGAGAGCACAUCACCCCCAGCAAGCUGGUUUGUCAAUAUCCACGGCUUUCAUCAGUAAAACAGCCUGGUUUAGUUUAGAGAUACAGCACAGAAACAGGCCCUUGGACACACCGAGUCCGCGCUGACCAGGGAACCCCGUUGAUAAGCUGAGAGAUCUUUCCCUUCAACACAA